rnacentral:rRNA from 1 species
UGCUUGGGGCAAGGGCAAGUGGUUUACUUGUUUUUAGAUCCUAUUGGAAUAAGGUUUAAGUUACCUCGGGGAUAACUAGGUAAGAGCGAGGAGAGAUCAUAUCGGUUCGUUUAUUUGCCAUCUCGAUGUUGGCUUGGGGUUAAUGCAGUGGUGUAGAGGUUUCUGUAUUUGUGCUGUUCGACCUUUAAUCCC